AGAGUUUGAUCCUGGCUCAGGAUGAACGCUAGCGGAGGCCUAACACAUGCAAGCCGAGCGGUAGAGAUUCUUCGGAAUCUUGAGAGCGGCGUACGGGUGCGGAACACGUGUGCAACCUACCUUUAUCUGGAGGAUAGCCUUUCGAAAGGAAGAUUAAUACUCCAUAAUAUAUUGAUUGGCAUCAAUUGAUAUUGAAAGCUCCGGCGGAUAGAGAUGGGCACGCGCAAGAUUAGUUAGUUGGUGAGGUAACGGCUCACCAAGACGAUGAUCUUUAGGGGCCUGAGAGGGUGAUCCCCCACACUGGUACUGAGACACGGACCAGACUCCUACGGGAGGCAGCAGUGAGGAAUAUUGGUCAAUGGGUGCAAGCCUGAACCAGCCAUCCCGCGUGAAGGACGACUGCCCUAUGGGUUGUAAACUUCUUUUGUAUAGGGAUAAACCUACCCUCGUGAGGGUAGCUGAAGGUACUAUACGAAUAAGCACCGGCUAACUCCGUG
rnacentral:rRNA from 1 species